rnacentral:other from 1 species
ACUCCUCUAUGGCGUACGUGACUACCAAUAAUGUUUGUUGAUCGAUAAUUUUUUGAUUAGGGAGCGUUCUCGUCUUAGCGACGGUAUACCAGACCAGUAUCUGGAAACCUCAAUCGACUAAGUGUUCUGUUCCCACCUGGUUUCCAGGAUCAAAAACUGCGGUGAGACGGCGUUGUGGAGGAGCC